rfam:Candidatus Burkholderia crenata strain TZHbot9 BCREchr_ctg516, whole genome shotgun sequence.
GUGAGGGUGACCGAACGUGGGGAGUAAGCGUGGAGCGAAACCGUGAGCCGAUGUACAAGAACCGGAUAGAAGGCGGUGCCG